rnacentral:rRNA from 1 species
GUGGGGAAUUUUGGACAAUGGGCGAAAGCCUGAUCCAGCAAUGCCGCGUGCAGGAUGAAGGCCCUCGGGUUGUAAACUGCUUUUGUACGGAACGAAAAGCCUGGGGCUAAUAUCCCCGGGUCAUGACGGUACCGUAAGAAUAAGCACCGGCUAACUACGUGCCAGCAGCCGCGGUAAUACGUAGGGUGCAAGCGUUAAUCGGAAUUACUGGGCGUAAAGCGUGCGCAGGCGGUUUUGUAAGACAGUGGUGAAAUCCCCGGGCUCAACCUGGGAACUGCCAGUGUGACUGCAAAGCUAGAGUGCGGCAGAGGGGGAUGGAAUUCCGCGUGUAGCAGUGAAAUGCGUAGAUAUGCGGAGGAACACCGAUGGAGAAGGCAAUCCCCUGGGCCUGCACUGACGCUCAUGCACGAAAGCGUGGGGAGCAAACAGGAUUAGAUACCCCAGUAGUCC